rnacentral:rRNA from 1 species
CCUACGGGAGGCUACAGUGGGGAAUAUUGCGCAAUGGGCGAAAGCCUGACGCAGCGACGCCGCGUGAGGGAUGAAGGUCUUCGGAUCGUAAACCUCUGUCAGCAGGGAAGAACGGUCACUGUGCUAAUCAGCAGUGAAUUGACGGUACCUGCAAAGGAAGCACCGGCUAACUCCGUGCCAGCAGCCGCGGUAAUACGGAGGGUGCGAGCGUGAAUCGGAAUUACUGGGCGUAAAGCGCUCGUAGGCGGUAGGUCAAGUCAAGGGUGAAGUCCCCGCGCUCAACGUGGGAACGGCCUUUGAAACUGGCAAACUGGAGUGUGUGAGAGGAUAGUGGAAUUCCAGGGGUAGGAGUGAAAUCCGUAGAUAUCUGGAGGAACAUCAGUGGCGAAGGCGACUAUCUGGCACAUAACUGACGCUGAGGAGCGAAAGCGUGGGUAGCAAACAGGAUUAGAUACCCCAGUAGUC